rnacentral:rRNA from 1 species
CAGUAGCCGCGGGAAUACGGAGGGUGCAAGCGUUAAUCGGAAUUACUGGGCGUAAAGCGCACGCAGGCGGUCUGUCAAGUCAGAUGUGAAAUCCCCGGGCUUAACCUGGGAACUGCAUUUGAAACUGGCAGGCUAGAGUCUUGUAGAGGGGGGUAGAAUUCCAGGUGUAGCGGUGAAAUGCGUAGAGAUCUGGAGGAAUACCGGUGGCGAAGGCGGCCCCCUGGACAAAGACUGACGCUCAGGUGCGAAAGCGUGGGGAGCAAACAGGAUUAGAUACCUCGGUAGUCCCUGUCUCUUAUAC